rnacentral:misc_RNA from 1 species
GCCCAUUUUUAACUAUUCCUGAUUUUGCCACCGCUAUACUUUCCAAAGAGCCCCCAAGUGCAUCCAGAUGUUCCUCGCCAACAGUGGUUAUGAUUGAUAUAGCAAGAUCAGAACCCGAAAUAACAUUAGUGGCAUCUCGUGCUCCACCCAAUCCAGCCUCCACAACUGCAAUUUCAGUAUUUUCUUCAGCAAAUAGGCUGAACGCAACAGCAGUAAAAACCUCAAAAUGACUGAGAUAUCCAUUCUCAAGUUUCACUGCCCUCUCAAUAACCUCCCUCCUUGUGUUGAAAUGAUGAUUCAAUACCUUGGCUGAUA